GCGGAACGAGUUAUCUGAACCUUCGGGGAACGAUAACGGCGUCGAGCGGCGGACGGGUGAGUAAUGCCUAGGAAAUUGCCCUGGUGUGGGGGAUAACCAUUGGAAACGAUGGCUAAUACCGCAUAAUACCUACGGGUCAAAGAGGGGGACCUUCGGGCCUCUCGCGUCAGGAUAUGCCUAGGUGGGAUUAGCUAGUUGGUGAGGUAAUGGCUCACCAAGGCGACGAUCCCUAGCUGGUCUGAGAGGAUGAUCAGCCACACUGGAACUGAGACACGGUCCAGACUCCUACGGGAGGCAGCAGUGGGGAAUAUUGCACAAUGGGCGCAAGCCUGAUGCAGCCAUGCCGCGUGUGUGAAGAAGGCCUUCGGGUUGUAAAGCACUUUCAGUCGUGAGGAAGGUAGUGUAGUUAAUAGCUGCAUUAUUUGACGUUAGCGACAGAAGAAGCACCGGCUAACUCCGUGCCAGCAGCCGCGGUAAUACGGAGGGUGCGAGCGUUAAUCGGAAUUACUGGGCGUAAAGCGCAUGCAGGUGGUUUGUUAAGUCAGAUGUGAAAGCCCGGGGCUCAACCUCGGAAUAGCAUUUGAAACUGGCAGACUAGAGUACUGUAGAGGGGGGUAGAAUUUCAGGUGUAGCGGUGAAAUGCGUAGAGAUCUGAAGGAAUACCGGUGGCGAAGGCGG
rnacentral:rRNA from 1 species